GGUGGAGCAUGUGGUUUAAUUCGAAGCAACGCGAAGAACCUUACCAAAUCUUGACAUCCUCUGACCCCUCUAGAGAUAGAGUUUUCCCCUUCGGGGGACAGAGUGACAGGUGGUGCAUGGUUGUCGUCAGCUCGUGUCGUGAGAUGUUGGGUUAAGUCCCGCAACGAGCGCAACCCUUAAGCUUAGUUGCCAUCAUUAAGUUGGGCACUCUAAGUUGACUGCCGGUGACAAACCGGAGGAAGGUGGGGAUGACGUCAAAUCAUCAUGCCCCUUAUGAUUUGGGCUACACACGUGCUACAAUGGACAAUACAAAGGGUAGCGAAACCGCGAGGUCAAGCAAAUCCCAUAAAGUUGUUCUCAGUUCGGAUUGUAGUCUGCAACUCGACUAUAUGAAGCUGGAAUCGCUAGUAAUCGUAGAUCAGCAUGCUACGGUGAAUACGUUCCCGGGUCUUGUACACACCGCCCGUCACACCACGAGAGUUUGUAACACCCGAAGCCGGUGGAGUAACCAUUUGGAGCUAGCCGUCGAAGGUGGGACAAAUGAUUGGGGUGAAGUCGUAACAAGGUAGCCGUAUCGGAAGGUGCGGCUGGAUCACCUCCUUUCUAAGGA
rnacentral:rRNA from 1 species